UGCUUAAUAUCUAGGGAGUUACAGCUUUUCUCUUUUGGUACUGUUUGUUUAUUUUGAGCAGUUAACUUCCUACUUCUUAGGGUCUGACAAGGCUUCAAUCAAGGUGUUGGUUCAGCUUCAUUCUAUAGCUUGGGGUACUCCUACAAGUUUCUGUACUGUUGAAAGGCUUCUUUCCAAUUCUAGACUCUCACUUUUUUUUUAGAGAACUUAUCUGUUGACUGGUUUACAUAUUUCAAUUUAAUCUUAAUUUUCCUGUUGAAGUAUACCUGAUUUAUAAAGUUAUAUAAGUUUAGGUGUAUAACAUAGUGAUUCAAUAUUUUUUGUAGAUUAUACUCCAUAUAGGGUUAUUAUAACAUAUUGGUUAUAUGUCACUAUGCUGUACAUUAUAUUUUCUUUGUUUCUUUUGGCUAUGCCACACAACUUAUGGGAUCUUAGUUCCCCAACUGGGGAUUGAACCCAGGCCCUCAGCAGUGAAAGUCCUAACAACCAGACUACCACAGAAUUUCCUACAUUACACUCAUGCAUCUUGUUUAUUUUAUAACUAGUAUUUUCUAUCUCUUAAUCCCUUCUCCUAUCUUGCCUCCCCACCUUCCCCUCUCCUCACUAGUAACCACUAGUCUGUUCUCUGUAUCUGUGGGUCUGUUUUGAUUUUAUCAUAUUCAUUCACUUGUGUAACUUUUUAGAUUCCAUAUACAAGUGAAAAUGUACAGCAUCAUUUUUAUCUAACUUACUUCGUUAAGUUUAAUACUCUCCAAGUCUACCCAUGUUAUUGCAAAAUGGCAAAAUCUCAUUCUUUUAUGAUUGACUAACAUUCCAUCAUAGGUCCUUGCCACAUAGACACAGUAAGCCUAGUCAUUACAGAGAAUCUGCAAGGAAGACAGAGCAUAAUUUAACAGAGCAUAUAAUCAAGGGAGAAACAUCCCAGAACAUUUGGGCUAUUCUCUUGGUUGAAGAAACCUGCAGGUCCAGGAGGGGAAAGAAUUAUAGGAAACUAUGAUCAUCCAUGAGACAAGGACCACGGGUGACCACUUUUUCAUGUUUCCCUCCACAGAUGGCAUUUUGAAGCCAAAAUAAACAAAACAUGGAUCUCAUGAAAAUAAUUCAUCAGUUGAACUAAGCUAUAUGUUUAAUGACUUUGAAUAUUAUGGUAUUAUCUUUUUCUAGAGAGGGCUCACUCUUUUUUCACUGCUAGCCAGAGAAAGUGGGGGACUGAUCAUCUUAAUCCAAUCGGGGACUGAUAGGAGUUGAAGCCAGGUUGCAUUUAGUUUAAGACUCUUUUUUGUUCCUUUUUCUAAGGUAUAGUAUAGGGCUUUCACCUAAGAGCCUAAAGUUUCAUCAGGGAGCCUCUCUGGGAAGAUCCUGUAUUUUAAUCCAUCUUCCUUGAAUAUAAGACUGAAAAAAAAAAAAAAAAUCCUUCCUCUACUUACUCAGAGCUUUUAGGCUUAUAUUAAAUCUCUCACACUGCAAUUUCUACAUCACCAAUUAUUUCCAGGUAAAAAGCUGCUGAUCAUUACUUCCUUCUCCUAAAUCAUCCCGUCCUUGUGAUAUUUGCCCCUCUCAUUCUUCCUUGCUCCAGAUUUCUGAUGCCAAUACAGAUUUUUUUCUCUUAAAAUCAUUAUCUCAAUUUUGAAGUCAGUCAUUCUAGAAAUAUUGGCCUUACACCAAUGUUUUUACCCUAUAAUAAAUCAGAAGCCUUUAAUUCUGUCUUAAAAAAUUAGACAAUUUCUUUCAGUGUUUAUAUCAUUUUUCCUAAUUUUUUUUUGUUUUAAUACCUCACAUUUCUCUCUUGAUUCUGAGUCCAUUCUCCCAGAAAAAAUAUAUUUCUUUCUGUUAUUUUUUUCUUUGAAUUUGUUUUAUUUACUGCAUUUUACUUAGUUGCAGUAGAAAUAGAAUUCUACUGCAUUCUACUUCUAUCAUUUCCUCACAUUUUAUUGUCUGUUCUCCUUUCAAGAAUAAUAAAGGGGAAAAAAAGGCCUUUGGAGUAAACUGGGAACCUGGAAACUAUGCUGCAUGAAAGUGAAAAAGUGCAAGUCACAAGCACUGAAGACUGAAGGUGCAGGAUGGAGAAAGAAGGGACUUGCUGAUUUCAGUUCGCCUGUUGUUCCUGUCAAAGUCAUCCCAUGAAUGUUGCUUCACCUUAGCUGCAGCAGUGGUUUCCCACUUACAGUAUAAUCUUGCUCUCUGCAAACCAUCUUCAUCAUCCACCCCUUCCCUACCCGACCCCCAGGGGGUUACCAGGACUAGGUGGACUACUAGCUCUUCAAGAGCUGUCCUCUGAACAAAUGUGGUAUCGCAUCAACACAUGUGUCGUCUCCUCCUCAGCUAUGGCUCUGUGGGACCCUCAUUUUCAGUUCCUAAAUAUUAGUUGCUCUGAGGUCAGAGUGCUUGUCUGUAAGACUCCUCCUGGGUUACCCGCUAGUGGCUGGCAAUCCCUUUUCACGUAUCUGAUCUUUGGAUUAUGUGGGACCUACUCUUGGCCUGUAGUUUCUGAAGACUCCAAUGUGUUCCACUGUCUCUGAAGGCAAAACCCAGUUUCUCAUUAAUUACUGUCUUACUUCAUUUUGUCCUAUUUUGUUCAAGUUACCCAAUAUUUGUUUAAUGAAUUUCUUGUAUUGAAUUUUCUCUGUUGAAGUAGCUAGGGUGUUUUAUGUUGCUGUUGUUGUUUUUCCGAACUGAAAUCUCACAAAUGCAUUGUGUAUCCAUCUUCAUUCAGUCUCCAUUUCCUUAUUGACUGCCUUAGAGAAACAGGUGAAAUUUGGAGACUCACUUGAAUGGAUAGGAAUCAGCUUAAUCUCAUCAUCCACCUCUUCUACCAAGCAGAUUCUUUAGUGUCUGAGCCACCAGGUAAGCCCAUCUUCUAUCAAGUAUGUUAGUCACACAGUGGUGUCUGACUUUUUUCGACCCCACUGUCUGUAGCCUGCCAAGCCCCUCUUUCCCUGGGAAUUUCCAGGCAAGAAAUACAGGAAUGGGUUGCCAUUUCCUACUCUAGCCUCUUCUACCAAGUAUGUCAUUAAUUCCACAUCUAGAUGCUAUGACUGGUUCACUUUCACUCCUAAAGCAUCUCUCAAAUGCUAAUUCUUAGCCACUCAAGUUAGUUUCCAUUCUAAUUUAAUGAUUUCAUCAUCCAUAUUUUGUGCCAGAUUUUCCAGUUUCCCCCUCAUCUUAUUGAUAACUCCUCUUUAAAGGCCUUUGUGAUUGUAUGCUGCCAAACUUGUUGGAUGGUCUUCUUACCAGAACUCUGCCUAUGGUUCACUGCUGAGACUUUAUGUAUUGGAUCACUAUACUCUUUACAUAUGGUGACUGCAGCCAUGAAAUUAAAAGAUGCCUGCUCC